rnacentral:rRNA from 1 species
GACGAAGGGGGCUAGCGUUGUUCGGAAUUACUGGGCGUAAAGCGCGUGUAGGCGGUUGUCCAAGUUGGAUGUGAAAGCCUUGAGCUCAACUCAAGAAAUGCAUUCAGGACUGGAUGACUAGAGGACCGGAGAGGAUAGUGGAAUUCCCAGUGUAGUGGUGAAAUACGUAGAGAUUGGGAAGAACACCGUGGCGAAGGCGGCUAUCUGGACGGUU